UACAGAGGUCCCGAGCGUUGUUCGGAUUCAUUGGGCGUAAAGGGCGCGUAGGCGGCCUGUUAAGUCGAACGUGAAAUCCCCGGGCUCAACCCGGGAACUGCGUCCGAUACUGGCAGGCUUGAAUUCGGGAGAGGGAUGCGGAAUUCCAGGUGUAGCGGUGAAAUGCGUAGAUAUCUGGAGGAACACCUGUGGUGUAGACAGCUUGCUAGACCAUCACUGACGCUGAGGCACGAAAGCGUGGGUAGCAAACAGG
rnacentral:rRNA from 1 species